UCCUUGUACAGAGGACAAACUUGGACACAGACACAUGUCUGCAGACAGAGAUGGGGGUGAAGCUUCCGCAAGCCAAGGGACACCAAAGAUUGCCAGGAAACCACCAGAGGCUGGGAGAGAGGUAUGGACCGGAUGUCCCUCGCGGCCACCGAGGGAGCCAGCCUGCUCUCAAAUCUGCAUCAAGUUUUGCUUUCAAUGGCUCUUCCCAGUGAAAGUACACAACAGCCGUUUUUCAAGAGGCUGCCAGGGCGUGUCAUUCGAUGUCGCCAGAGGAACCCCCCAACACAGAUCUCAUGAGACAGUGCACCCAGGCAGAGUGGGCCACGGCGGGCCUCCUCACUGCGGUCAGAAAUCUCAAAAUUGAAAAUUCCCAGUACUUCUUCAGAUUCAAACGGAUUUAAUCAUUUCACAGUUGCCCAGUGACCACAUUGCUAUUCACUGUGGUAGUGUGCCUCAUUCAGUGUUUGAACCCGAAUCUGCUCGUGACGAUACAAGACGGAGGCUUUUUUUCUUUUUUCUUUUAGAGAGCGAGAGAGGAAAAAAACCCACAGACCUUCCCAUGGAGCCCAGUCUUGCCCGGGAAGAGGCUGCACACUGGAAUCAAACUGUGGACACGGGGGUGUGCAGGUGGCCAGAGCUGGGGGAGCUGCUUAAAAACAUCU